GAUGAAGAACAUAGCGAAAUGCGAUAAGUAAUGUGAAUUGCAGAAUUCAGUGAAUCAUCGAAUCUUUGAACGCAUCUUGCGCUCCUUGGUAUUCUGAGGAGCAUGCCUGUUUGAGUGUCAUUAAAUUCUCAACUACACUGACUUUGAAUUGGUGUGGCUUGGAUUUGGGGGGAAAAUUGUUGUGGGCUUUUUGUAUAGUCUGCUCCCCUGAAAUUGAUUAGCGGUACCUUUGUGGAACUGUCUACAGGUGUGAUAAUUAUCUACAUCUUAGACAUCUGCUGGAAUGCUGCUUUCUAAACCUUACUUGUAUUGACAAUCUUGACCUCAAAUCAGGUAGGACUACCCGCUGAACUUAAGCAUAUCAAUAAGCGGAGGA
rnacentral:misc_RNA from 1 species